rnacentral:rRNA from 1 species
CUAAGGGGCGCGAGAUAACUCUCUCUAAGGAACUCGGCAAAAUGACUCCGUAACUUCGGGAGAAGGAGUGCCUUAUUUUUAAGGUUGCAAUAACAAGAUCCAAGCAACUGUUUAUCAAAAACACAGGUCUCCGCUAAGUCGUAAGACGAUGUAUGGGGGCUGACGCCUGCCCAGUGCCAGAAGGUUAAAGAAGUUGGUUAGCACUUGCGAAGCUGAUAACUGAAGCCCUGGUGAACGGCGGCCGUAACAAUAACGGUCCUAAGGUAGCGAAAUUCCUUGUCGGGUAAGUUCCGACCCGCACGAAAGGCGUAAUGAUUUGGAUACUGUCUCGGAGAGGGGCUCGGUGAAAUAGACUUGUCUGUGAAGAUGCGGACUACCUGCACCUGGACAGAAAGACCCUAUGAAGCUUUACUGUAACUUGAAAUUGAAAUUGGACUUUACUUGCGCAGUAUAGGUGGGAGGCGUUGAAUUUAUUCUUGCGGGAAUUUAGGAGCCAUCAGUGAGAUACCACUCUGGUAAUGUUAGAUUUCUAACUUUGAAUCAUGAUCUGGUCAAAGAACAGUUUCAGGCGGGCAGUUUGACUGGGGCGGUCGCCUCCCAAAUGGUAACGGAGGCGUACAAAGGUUUCCUCUGAACGUGUAGAAAUCGUAUCUAGAGUGUAAAGGCAUAAGGAAGCUUGACUGUGAGACCUACAAGUCGAGCAGGGACGAAAGUCGGUCUUAGUGAUCUGACGGUGCUGAGUGGAAAGGCCGUCACUCAACGGAUAAAAGUUACUCUAAGGAUAACAGGCUGAUCUCCCCCAAGAGUUCACAUCGACGGGGAGGUUUGGCACCUCGAUGUCGGCUCAUCGCAUCCUGGGGCGGUAGUACGUCCCAAGGGUUGGGCUGUUCGCCCAUGAAAGCGGUACGCGAGCUGGGUUCAGAACGUCGUGAGACAGUUCGGUCCAUAUCCGGUGUAGGCGUUAGAAUAUUGAGAGGAGCCUUCUUUAGUACGAGAGGACCGAGAAGGACAUACCUCUGGUGUACCAGUUAUCGUGCCAACGGUAAACGCUGGGUAGCUAUGUAUGGAGAGGAUAACCGCUGAAAGCAUCUAAGUGGGAAGCCCACCUCAAGAUAAGUAUUCUCAUCACAUAAGUGAGUAAGGUCACGGUAAGACUAACCGUUUAAUAGGCAUUAAGUAUAAAUAUAGUAAUAUAUGAGCUGAGAUGUGCUAACAGACCGAGGAC